AAAGUAUAAAAAAAGCGUAGAGGGGAUGCCUAGGCAUUAAUUACUAUUUUUAGGACGUAAUAAAAACGAAACGUUACAUGGAAUAAUAUUUUAUUUAUAUAUGUAGAUUUCCUAAAGAAAACUUUUUCUUUGUGAAAAUUAAAAAUUUAGUGAAUUGAAAUAUCUUAGUAACUAAUUAAUAAAUCAAACGAGAUUCCGUAAGUAAUGACGAGUGAACAUGGAAAAUAGGUUAUAAAAAAAAUUUAACAUGAAAAUAUAUAGAUUCCGAAAAAUUUUGAAAAAUUUACGUUAAAGGGUGAUAGUCCUGUAGGAUAUAUUUCAUAAAAUAUUUAUUUAUUUUGUUUUUUUAUAAGUAAAAAGAGGUAUGUGUAAUCUUUUUUGAAAAUUGGGGGACCACCCUCAAAACCUAUAAAAUAAUUAAUGACCGAUAGUGAACAAGUACUGUAAAGGAAAGGUGAAAUAGAGCUUUUGAGUUUGAAAUAAUUCUGAAACUCUAUGCUAAUAAUCAAUUGAAGCUUUUUUAUAAAGUAACAGUGUACCUUUUGCAUAAUGGGCCAGCAAGUUUAUUUUUUUAGCAAGCUUAAUUUAUUAAUAAAAUAGGCGUAGAAAAAUCAAGUUUUAAAAAGCAUUAUAAAGUUAAAAAAAUAAGACCCGAAACUGAGUGAUCUAAUUAUGAACAGAUUGAAGAAUAGGUAAAACUAUUUGGAGGAUCGAACUCACGUAUGUGGCAUUAUAUGGAGAUGAUUUGUGAUUAGGGGUGAAAGGCCAAUCAAACUCAGAGAUAGCUGGUUUUCCGCGAAAUCUAUUGAAGUAGAGCAUUUAAGAAUCUUUUUUUGGGGUAGAGCACUCAUUAAGCUAGGGGGGUUAAAAUCUUACUGAACUUUUAGAAACUUCGAAUACAAAAAUAAGUAAUUAAAUAGACAGACAUUGGGCGCUAAGGUCCAUUGUCGAGAGGGAAACAGCCCAGAUUGAACGCUAAGGUCCUUAAAUAAUUUUCUAAGUGAUAAAGGAAGUGAAAAAAUAAAGACAACCAAUAGGUAGGCUUGGAAGCAGCCAUCCUUUAAAGAAAGCGUAAUAGCUCAUUGGUCUAGUUUUUUUGCACCGAAAAUGUAUCGGGACUAAAGAAAUUUACCGAAGCGUCAAGUUUAUAUAUAUAAAUAUUAUAAUAUAUAAACGGUAGCGGAACAUUCUGUAUGUUGCUAAAGAUAUGUUGUUAAAUAUAUUGAAGAUAUCAGAAUCGAAAAUGCUGGCAUUAGUAACACAAAAUAAUGAUAAAAUCAUUAUCACCGAAAAUCUAAGGGUUUCUAUGUUAAGAUUAACUACAUAGAGUUAGACGGCCCCUAAGCAGAACAUGACGAAAGCAUGCUGUGAUGGGAAAAUUUUGAAAUUAAAUUUCUAAUAAAAAGUGACAAAAUGAAUAAUUUUCAAGAAAUAACUUUUUUUAAUAAAAUAACCGUACCCUAAACCAACACAGGUAGAUAGGUCGAGUAGACUAAGGUGUAUGAGAUAAUUAUGUUGAAGGAACUCGGCAAAAUGACUCUGUAACUUCGGGAGAAAGAGUACCUUUUAAAUUUUUAAGAGGUGGCACAGAAUUGGGGGUUGCGACUGUUUAAUAAAAACACAGGACUCUGCUAAAUCGUAAGAUGACGUAUAGGGUCUGACACCUGCCCGGUGCUGGAAGAUUAAUAGGAGAUGUUUGCGCAUUGAAUGAAAGUCCCAGUAAACGGCGGCCGUAACUCUGACGGUCCUAAGGUAGCGAAAUUCCUUGUCGGGUAAGUUCCGACCUGCAUGAAUGGUGUAACGACAUCCCCGCUGUCUCCAACAUAAACUCAGUGAAUUUGAAUUAUCCGUGAAGAUGCGGAUUCUCUAUAGUUAGACGGAAAGACCCCGUGAACCUUUACUACAUCUUUAUAUUGUUAUCUUAUAAAAUAUGUGUAGAAUAAGUGGUAAUCUCAGACCUUCACGCUAGUGAAUUGUUUAGAUUUCUUUGAAAUACCACUCUUAUUCUUAUAAAUAACUAAUAUUUCUUUAGAAAUAAACAGUGUAUGGUUGGUAGUUUGACUGGGGCGGUCACCUCCCAAAGAGUAACGGAGGUGUACAAAGGUAAGCUCAAAUUGGAAAAUAUAUCAAUUGUGGAAUGUAAUGGUAUAAGCUUGCUUGACUGUAAGAUAGACAUAUCAAACAGGGACGAAAGUCGGUCAUAGUGAUCCGAUAAUUCUUUGUGGAAAGAUUAUCGCUCAACGGAUAAAAGGUACUCCGGGGAUAACAGGCUGAUGACUCCUAAGAGCUCCUAUCGACGGAGUCGUUUGGCACCUCGAUGUCGACUCAUCACAUCCUGGAGCUGAAGAAGGUUCCAAGGGUUCGGCUGUUCGCCGAUUAAAGUGGUACGUGAGUUGGGUUUAGAACGUCGUGAGACAGUUUGGAUCCUAUCUUCUAUAGAUUUUUUUGAAAAAUGAAAGACUCUGAUUCUAGUACGAGAGGACCGAAAAAGGUAAAUCACUGGUGUAUCGGUUGUUCUAUAUUGAGCAGCGCCGAGUAGCUAAAUUUAUAUUGGAUAAUUGCUGAAAGCAUCUAAGCAAGAAACCGUUCUUAAAAAUUUUUCAUAAAAUUGUUUUAGACUAAAACUUUGAUAGGUGAAAAGUGUAAAUAUUGUAAAAUAUGUAGCUUAUUCAUACUAAAUAUUUUUAAAUAAUAUAUAAUAAUAUUAUA
rnacentral:rRNA from 1 species